CAGGCUUUACCUGUAGUUGGGAUUUCAUUUACACUGAAGGUUUUACCGUGCGAUUCGGUGUUGUCUGG
rnacentral:tRNA from 1 species